AGCGGGGUGAUCUACCCAUGGCCAGUGUGAAGCAGCAGUAAGAUGCUGUGGAGGCGCGAACCCACGUAGGUUGAAAACUGCGGGGAUGAGCUGUGGGUAGGGGUGAAAGGCCAAUCAAACUCCGUGAUAGCUGGUUCUCCCCGAAAUGCAUUUAGGUGCAGCGUCGCAUUAGCUUGGUGGAGGUAGAGCUACUGGUUGGUUGAGCGGGACUACAAUCUUAGCAAUGUCAGCCAAACUCCGAAUGCCAUUAAUGUGUUGUGCGGCAGUGAGACUGUGGGGGAUAAGCUUCAUAGUCGAGAGGGAAACAGCCCAGAUCGCCGGUUAAGGCCCCUAAGGGUGUGCUAAGUGGAAAAGGAUGUGGGAUCGCGAAGACAGCCAGGAGGUUGGCUUAGAAGCAGCCAUCCUUGAAAGAGUGCGUAAUAGCUCACUGGUCGAGUGGUUCUGCGCCGACAAUGUAGUGGGGCUCAAGCACACCGCCGAAGCCGCGGCAAUAAUAUUUUGUUAUUGGGUAGGGGAGCGUCGUGCACGUGUUGAAGCGUUACCGUGAGGAGGCGUGGAGUGUGUGCGAGUGAGAAUGCAGGCAUGAGUAACGAAUUGGAAGGUGAGAAUCCUUCCCGCCGGAUGACUAAGGGUUCCUGGGUCAAGUUCGUCUUCCCAGGGUGAGUCGGGACCUAAGGCGAGGCCGACAGGCGUAGUCGAUGGAUAACCAGUUGAUAUUCUGGUACCCGAGUAUAUGCGCCCCUGAUAAAGCACUGAUACUAACCACCGUAAGCUGUUGUGAUUGGCCUUCGGGUUAACAUGGUGGCAAGCCGUGGGGCCUGAUGUGUGGUUCAAGCGAUGGGGUGACACAGUGGGGUAGCCAUGCCGCUUAGUGGAUUGUUGGUGUAAGCGUGUAGGU
rnacentral:rRNA from 1 species